CAUUUGUUUACAAGUAGGGGUAUAUAUGAGCCACUUUUAUAACGAGGGGUAUAUCAGCUCUAAAUGAAAAAGUUGAGGGGUAUAUCAGACCCUUUUCCCUAUUAUUAUUAUUGUUAUUGUUUGUUAAAAUUGGAUGAUGAAGAAAUUAUCGUCGAUUUCUAAGGCCUCCUAUGUUCAUAAGACAGAUUUUUAUUUUUAAGUUAUUAUUUGGUUUAAUUAUUUUUAUUCAUAUUUAUUUAUUACUAACACUUUUACCAAGUGUCUUUACAGGUACACAGAGUUGCUUUUCAUUGAAGCUACUCGAAGAACUCGAAUUAUAUUUUUUUAUUCAUUAUUAAGUAAAUAUUGACGUUAGGCAAACCUUAGGCUGUUUCUUAUGUUAUUAUUUUAUUUUAUUACUUGUGCAUAUUGCAUGUUUAUAUUACUCACAUAUUAUUAUUAUCUUCUUUUAUUACUUGUGUAUAUUGCAUGUUUAUAUUACUAAUAUAUUAUUAUUAUCUUCUUCUCAAUUUGAAAAGAAAAAUAAGCUCAGUCGGGAACCACAAUUGUGGAUUUCGAAAGAUGCUUAACCUCUUAUCUUCGAAAUAACUAGAACCCCCUACCUACAUCAAUUGGUUCCGUAGACUUUCUUUUGAGUUAAUUUGUUAAUUGGUUUUCUAGUUUUCCUUAAAAUUACGUAGCAACUCCAUUUAAAUCAUUUUUCCCUUUUCCCUUUAACCCUUUUACCCGUUUUAAAUUUUUUAAACUAUUUCUAUUUUAAUUGAGACACCGCGACGUUGCUCCUAUUCAAGGAAUGUCAACGAGGACCAAUGGACUGCCCAAAAAGCUGUUAAAAAGAUUUUGACUCACGAAAGGGGCACCCACAAGUAGUGAGUAGGGGUCGUGAGUUGAGGCCAAACCUCCCCCAAAUCCCCAAGUUUCAGUACUGAACCACACCCUUGUAGUACGGCUUGUAGACCCACUCACGCCCCAUGAAUGGGUCUCGUGAGUGGGUGGCUUGAGUUGGCCAAGAGAAUGGCUGCAAACCCAAACCACGGACUUGCAGGAUGAGGCGUCAGCCCACCUACGGUCCUGGGUGGUGAGUCAUUUCCUGCAAAAGUUGUUAAAGUCUCGUCCAAUGCUUAGCCAAAGCCAUUAACUCCAAGAGUUAUUAUAUUAGUGUGGGAUCAUUUUAAUUCAUUUAAUCAUACAUAUAUAAGUAGUAAUAAACCAUUGACCACCUCUUUAAAUCACCAGACUCAAACUAGAAACCAACUCUCCGCUCCAAAUAUUCUCUCUCUAAGAACUCCAUAGAAGAAGCAAAACCAAGGUCAAGUUAGGGUUCAAGGAGUAGCUUUCUUCUCUAAUUUAUUAUGGAAAUCAACCUAAGGUAUGAAUUCUUUUCAUCUUUGGGUAGCUAUCACCCAAAGAUCCCUUUCAAACUAUGUUUUUAAGACUUCAAAUUCCCCCCAAAAAUUUAAGGUUUCAAUUUGUGUCAUGGGUCUUCUUCCAGAUGAAUUUAAAUUGUUUAAUUAUCAUUUAUUAUGGUUGAUUAUGAUGAAUUGUGGUUGGAAUAAUGGAGUAUUGUUGAAUUAUGAUGAAAAUCUCCCUUGGACACAUGAUUUCCCCGUCUUUCUAAAUUGUGAACUGAGGUGUGACUUUAUUGAUUAUGAAAGCUUCAAAAUUGACUACAUUUACAAUUAUUAAGUUUUUGAAUGAUGAUAUCUCUCUAUCUAGGGUUGUAAUUUUAGAAGUUACGGUUGUUCUUUAUUCAUAGUCUUGAAGGGAAACUUGUUAGGGUUUGUAUGUGUUGAUGAGGAUUGAAUAUGAACUCCUGAUCUACUUAAAUAGUGAUAAUCCUAUGACUAUUGUAUAUUGAUGAUGUUGAUGCAAGAUCCUUCUCCCCUAUACUCUUACACAAUAUUAUGCAUGAAUUGUCUAUGACUAUGAUAAUGUGUUUGUGUUGAUUGAAAGACUACUCUCAUGAAACACUAUGAACAUGAUGUUCACACCCAAUUUUAACCCUCUCCGAUAUAUAUUAAUUAACGAGCUUACUAACUUGAAACAAUUGAUUUUAUAAAGUUUAAAGUGUUUUAAAAUUAUUUUUAAGUUUAUCUUGUCCUUAUAUAUAUGUGUGUGUGUGUGUGUGUGUGUGUGUGUGUGUAUAUAUAUAUAUAUAUAUAAUUUUUUAGAUAAUAUAUCUGUUUCGCAUAAUUAUGCUACGACUAGUGUAUUCUAUGAUUAAUCGAAAGUCGUCUCAAAAAGAUUUUAUUUUUGUUUAAAUAUUUUUACUAAUUAAUUUAGUCGUAUAAUAGCUUAUUUCUUUUAUUUAUUUAUCUUAUAACUAAAUCAUUUAUUUAUUUUCGUUCAUAUUAAGAAGCUUAUUUAAUUAAUUUUUAUUAAUUCAUCUCACCUAAAUUACCAAGUGUUUAAAAAACCAUUAGAAGACCAUUUUGGGCCUUUUUGCCGAUUUUCCACGCAACCCUAUUUUCCAACCAUUUUUUUAGGCCAAUUCCAUGUUUUCCUAAAUUGACCCAGCACCCUUUUUACUAAUCUUCCAUCCCACACUUUCUCCAAGCCACUCCUAGCCGCCCGACCCGGCCCAAUCUCCCCUUCACAAGGAGGAAUCCGGAGCAGCAUAACCACUCCCAGAAUUUUUCCUAAUUCCACGCGCAGCGUGCAAAUUCCCAGCGAACAAGAGAUCCCCAGCAACGAUACGCGUGAACGACACCCUCGCGUGCAUGCGGAGAGUGGGUAUUUUGUCUCUUCUUCAUGUUUGUUUGACUCGUACGACUGUAGUAGUGUGAGGCAGGUCGUCCUUUUAUCCUUUCGCAUGCGGAUGUGUGACACGUCGCACUGAAGGACGAAUAAAUUCAUUCAAUCUGUCCGUUCUCCUUUCCUUUUGGGAAUGGAUUCAGAACUUCAAGGAAAGUUGUUCAUCCCAUUUCGGUAAAAGUGUGUGGGAUUUCAAAAUUCGAAUUGGGCCUCCUCUCAUCCAAAUUUUGAUGUUUUCCCCCUCUUUUCAAAAACCCUAGCCCCUACUAUAUAUAUUCGUUAUUGGUUUAUUGUUGUUUGGAAUUUUUUGGGGGUGAGAAAUUAGAAAGGAAUUUAGAUUUGGAAGAUUUUUUAGUCGAAGUUCUUCUUUUCCUUGGCAAGAGUCUAGACUGAGAGAUAAAGUUCACAAAAAAAAAGAGGAAAAAAUUUGGAGGUCGAAAUUUUUUGGGAAAGAAAAUAGGGAGAAAUUUUUUUUGUUUCUUUUGAGCGAGAUUCUUGUUUUGGCUGAGAGAAUUGCCCUUGCGUGAAAAAAUACUCACAACAUCUUAAAAGAAAAUACAGACAAGAACAUUUAUAUAAAGUGUUCUAGUUCGGCUCGAGGCUUAGGAUUUGGCUUUUGGAUUCCCGUCCGUUUGUUUGUAUUUCGAGUCUUGUAGUGAAGUCACUGCCUCCCCUGCUUGUGUUUGUUCCAGGUUGCUGCAAUCUGAAAGUGGCAUGUGAAAUCCGUUCGAAUUCAUUAUGAAUUCUUGAGUUGAUCGGGUCAAGUGGCAAGAUAAGGAGUAGGUCCUCACAAAUCGAUGCACAAGUGUUGGAGUUGGAAAAUGCGGAAACGGAAGAAAAUUGAGAAAGUUGGGCCAAAGGACUAUCUUUUACUUUGAAUUUUUGUAUUUUGUUUUUUGGGCCUAACCCCUUAUAUCUUUAUCAUUAUUGUAUUGCUAGAAUUUAGGACAGGUACCGUUGAGAUGGACCAAAGGCUCGAAACGAGAUAGGCCAAAGGCUUUAAAAGAAAUGGGUCCAAAUACCGAUCCAGGCGGACAGAAAUUGGAUUUGGACCCAACUCUCUCUCUCUCUUUCUAUCCCUUUUACUUUAUCGCUUAUAUGUUUGUUAUUAUUUAUGUUUAACUUUAGGGUCGGAAACUUCAAAUCUCUAGGAGACUUCAUCUCGUUUUAACAAUUUAAUUAAAUCAACCAAAUAUAAAUAAAUAUAAAAAGUAAAUUUGCGUGUCAAAUCUCGCUUAGAUCAUAAUUAAUACUUCACUUUCAAAGAAACUAAAUAAUCUUGUAUCUCAAAAUUAUGUUAGAUCAAUUAGCCAAACAAAGCUAGUUGUCAGAAAAUAGCAAGUUAGCGAAUAUUUUAGGUGUCGUAAAAACUUUUCCAAAAUAUAAAUAUGAUUCCCCGAACCCCUUUAAAGUUUUUUUAAGGAUUUUAUGUUUAAAUCUUUUCGAAAACUAAGUUUUUCUUGAUUUUUCUAAAAAAUUAAGUGACGACUCUUAAAAGGCCCAAAAACUUAUAAAAAAUAUUUUCCCCAAAAAAACUAAUAAAACAAAAAUGAUGACUCUGCUGGGGAAUUUGAGGAUUCUAACCUUGAAAUAAUUUUAUUUGGCUACGUGAAAUUAUUAUUCAUGGCAUAUUUUCGUCAAUCGGCAAAUAGUUACAUUAGGAUAAAGAGAGUUACGUGGCUUACCACGACUCUUCUCAGAAAUACCUUAAGUCUUCAUUUGGAAGUAACAAACGAAUAGUUGGCUUGCAGUCAUCCAACGUCGUUUGUUAGCUUCAAACGUUUGCAGUCCAACUCGAGUAACCGUCGCUUUGAAACAUAUUCUAGUCAGCCUAAGAUAGAGCGAAACCAAAACCAAACCUAAGCAUUAGCCUAACACGGCUUAAUACCUAAGGCGUAUGAAGUUCAUUAGUUGAAACUUCCAAAGUCAUGUCUAACGUCUCCGACCUCACGACAUACCAUUUUGCUUGAUAUUUGAAUGAUGUACAUCUGAAAACCAAAUUUGGGGUGGGUAAACUUAACCGGAUUUUGUUUUGUAGGUAUGAAUCGCUUUCCAACAUUCGACAUGGUCGUAGAAGCACCACAUCUACUCAAAAUAUGGUUUAACAAUCUUGACGCUGAUAAUAGAAGAGCCCUCAACAAGUAUGUGGGCUCCUUAACCGAGUUGAUCAACGUGAAGGGUUGACCUGAGCUGAUCGAAGUCCUCACAGGUUAUUGGGACAACACAAAAAUGGUGUUUCGAUUUAGAAUUGUGGAAAUUACCUCGACAAUCGAAGAACUUCGGGACUACAUUGACACCGUGGGUACAGGGCUAGAAAGAAGAGUGAGAAAGCAAGAGGACAUCAUGAUCCCAAAAAAGCCUUUUGUCGAAGAUAUCGUAGACUGGUUCGGGUUAGGAAAAGAUUACACUUACUGGUGCCGAGUAUAUAACGUAGCGUUCAGAGAUCUCUACGUCAGAUUUGGACACGCGAGAUUCUAUGCAAAUUCUAAACAAGAGUUCAAAAUUACAUAUAGAGAAUGGAACGAGAUCUGACCCUUGGUAUUUGUCAUCGCAUUAUUGGGAACAAUGGUCUUUCCACACGGCUCGAGCUUGAGUAUCAAAACUCGAGUGAUAAUGCUUGCCCACACAUUGUUCAAAGGGUUUAAGAAUCAAGGACAAGUGAAAUAUUAUCCCAUCGCCUCAGGUCAUAUUGUUUGAAAUGUAUCGAGCCCUAAGAAGGUGUAAAGAGGGACAUCAUUACUUUCAAGGAUGUAACUUGCUCCUUCAAUGGUGGAUUUUGAGUCAUCUAGCAAAAGGACAUGAGACUCAGGAAUUGUAUACCCUGGAUAAUAAGAACACUCUCAUAGAUUUGAAUGA